rnacentral:rRNA from 1 species
AUACGGGGGGUGCAAGCGUUAAUGGGAAUUACUGGGCGUAAAGCGCGCGUAGGCGGUUUGCUCAGUCGGAUGUGAAAGCCCAGGGCUCAACCUUGGAACUGCAUACGAUACUGGCAAACUAGAGUGUGAGAGAGGAUAGUGGAAUUUCCGGUGUAGCGGUGAAAUGCGUAGAUAUCGGAAGGAACAUCAGUGGCGAAGGCGACUGUCUGGCUCAACACUGACGCUGAGGUGCGAAAGCGUGGGUAGCAAACAGGAUUAGAAACCCUAGUAGUCC